UACGGGGGGGGCAAGCGUUGUUCGGAAUUACUGGGCGUAAAGGGCUCGUAGGCGGCCAACUAAGUCAGACGUGAAAUCCCUCGGCUUAACCGGGGAACUGCGUCUGAUACUGGUUGGCUUGAAUCCGGGAGAGGGAUGUGGAAUUCCAGGUGUAGCGGUGAAAUGCGUAGAUAUCUGGAGGAACACCGGUGGCGAAGGCGGCAUCCUGGACCGGUAUUGACGCUGAAAGCCGAAAGCUAGGGGAGCAAACGGG
rnacentral:rRNA from 1 species